GAUGAACGCUGGCGGCGUGCCUAAUACAUGCAAGUCGAGCGAACAGACGAGGAGCUUGCUCCUCUGACGUUAGCGGCGGACGGGUGAGUAACACGUGGAUAACCUACCUAUAAGACUGGGAUAACUUCGGGAAACCGGAGCUAAUACCGGAUAAUAUAUUGAACCGCAUGGUUCAAUAGUGAAAGACGGUUUUGCUGUCACUUAUAGAUGGAUCCGCGCGGCAUUAGCUAGUUGGUAAGGUAACGGCUUACCAAGGCGACGAUGCGUAGCCGACCUGAGAGGGAGAUCGGCCACACGGGAACUGAGACACGGUCCAGACUCCUGCGGGAGGCAGCAGUAGGGAAUCUUCCGCAAUGGGCGAGAGCCUGACGGAGCAACGCCGCGUGAGUGAUGAAGGUCUUCGGAUCGUAAAACUAUGUUAUUAGGGAAGAACAAAUGUGUAAGUAACUAUGCACGUAUUGACGGUACCUAAUCAGAAAGCCACGGCUAACUACGUG
rnacentral:rRNA from 1 species